AAACAACAAGUGUGUAAUCACGAGAAGACACAACUACCACUGUUCAAACAGCGCGAUAUCAGUGCUAAAAUUAUGGAUAAAUACAGGUUGCAGUGGGUCGGGUCAAAGUGUGGCCAACAUGGGCCCUAUACUUUCUUCAAGGGAUUCAAAUUUCUUAAAAACUCGGUUUGGAGAACGAUUUCACUCGGCGAUUUCAUUUUCGUCAAGUGCU